GUGGGGAAUAUUGGGCAAUGGGGGAAACCCUGACCCAGCGACGCCGCGUGAGGGAAGAAGGCCUUAGGGUCGUAAACCUCUGUUGUGUGGGAAGAAGAGCGUGACGGUACCACACGAGGAAGUCCCGGCUAACUACGUGCCAGCAGCCGCGGUAAUACGUAGGGGACGAGCGUUGUCCGGAUUUACUGGGCGUAAAGGGCGCGUAGGCGGUCAUUUAAGUCAGCUGUGAAAUGGUUUGGCUUAACCGGAUCAUGCGGUUGAAACUGGAUGACUGGAGUGCUGGAGAGGCAAGUGGAAUUCCCAGUGUAGCGGUGAAAUGCGUAGAUAUUGGGAAGAACACCGGUGGCGAAGGCGACUUGCUGGCCAGUAACUGACGCUGAGGCGCGAAAGCCAGGGGAGCAAACGGGAUUAGAAACCCGAGUAGUCC
rnacentral:rRNA from 1 species